GACGAACGCUGGCGGCGUGCUUAACACAUGCAAGUCGAACGGAAAGGCCCUGCCUUUGUGGGGUGCUCGAGUGGCGAACGGGUGAGUAACACGUGAGUAACCUGCCCUUGACUUUGGGAUAACUUCAGGAAACUGGGGCUAAUACCGGAUAGGAGCUCCUGCUGCAUGGUGGGGGUUGGAAAGUUUCGGCGGUUGGGGAUGGACUCGCGGCUUAUCAGCUUGUUGGUGGGGUAGUGGCUUACCAAGGCUGUGACGGGUAGCCGGCCUGAGAGGGUGACCGGCCACAUUGGGACUGAGAUACGGCCCAGACUCCUACGGGAGGCAGCAGUGGGGAAUAUUGCACAAUGGGCGGAAGCCUGAUGCAGCGACGCCGCGUGCGGGAUGACGGCCUUCGGGUUGUAAACCGCUUUCGCCAGUGACGAAGCGUGAGUGACGGUAAUUGGUAAAGAAGCACCGGCUAACUACGUG
rnacentral:rRNA from 1 species